AGCGAACGCUGGCGGCAGGCCUAACACAUGCAAGUCGAACGAACCUUUCGGGGUUAGUGGCGGACGGGUGAGUAACAAGUGGGAACGUGCCUUUAGGUUCGGAAUAACUCAGGGGAACUUGUGCUAAUACCGCAUGUGCCCUUCGGGGGAAAGAUUUAUCGCCUUUAGAGCGGCCCGCGCCUGAUUAGCUAGUUGGUUGAGGUAAUGGCUCACCAAGGCGACGAUCAGUAGCUGGUCUGAGAGGAUGAUCAGCCACAUUGGGACUGAGACACGGCCCAAACUCCUACGGGAGGCAGCAGUGGGGAAUCUUGCGCAAUGGGCGAAAGCCUGACGCAGCCAUGCCGCGUGAAUGAUGAAGGUCUUAGGAUUGUAAAAUUCUUUCACCGGGGACGAUAAUGACGGUACCCGGAGAAGAAGCCCCGGCUAACUUCGUG
rnacentral:rRNA from 1 species